rnacentral:rRNA from 1 species
CGACCGCUGGCGGCGUGCUUAACACAUGCACGUCGUACGGUAAGGCCCUUUCGGGGGUACACGAGUGGCGAACGGGUGCGUAACACGAGAGUAACCUGCCCACAACUUUGGGAUAACGCUAGGAAACUGGUGCUAAUACUGGAUAUGUGCUCCUGCUGCAUGGUGGGGGUUGGAAAGCUCCGGCGGUUGUGGAUGGACUCGCGGCCUAUCAGCUUGUUGGUGGGGUAGUGGCCUACCAAGGCGGCGACGGGUAGCCGGCCUGAGAGGGUGACCGGCCACAUUGGGACUGAGAUACGGCCCAGACUCCUACGGGAGGCAGCAGGGGGGAAUAUUGCACAAUGGGCGCAAGCCUGAUGCAGCAACGCCGCGGGCGGGAUGACGGCCUUCGGGUUGUAAACCGCUUUCAGCAGGGACGAAGCUUUUUGUGACGGUACCUGCAGAAGAAGCACCGGCUAACUACGUG